rnacentral:rRNA from 1 species
UACCAGCACCCCGGGUGGUCGGGACGAUUAUUGGGCCUAAAGCAUCCGUAGCCGGUCCUGCAAGUCUUCCGUUAAAUCCAGCUGCUCAACAGAUGGGCUGCGGGGGAUACUACAGGGCUAGGAGGCGGGAGAGGCAAGCGGUACUUUAUGGGUAGGGGUAAAAUCCGUUGAUCCAUAGAAGACCACCAGUGGCGAAGGCGGCUUGCCAGAACGCGCUCGACGGUGAGGGAUGAAAGCUGGGGGAGCAAACCGG